CUUCGGAUUUUUGCCAGCCUUGUGACCUUGGGCACCUUAUCUGCUUUCUUAGACUAUCUCAUCCUUUCUCUCAGAAAACAUUGUGGCACCUUCUGGACAAGGGGAUGCAAAGAAGGAAAAGCCAAGUGGAGUGUGGGCACACGCAGACCACCCCGAUGGUGUUGAUUUCCAUGACUUAAAUCAUUCAAUCCAGAACUGGUUCCCACUUCCCUAAGUCCUCCACAGAACCAUGGAACACAAGCCCCAAUGUAAAGAGACUCCUAUGAAGACUUCCCCUAGGACGAUAGAAACCAAAUGCAAACUGGGUCAAGUGAAAAAGAGAAAGCGUUGGCCCAUGUAUCAGAAAAACCCCGAGCUGACUUCGGGCAUCGCUGGAUUCAGGAGCACACAUGAUAUUUUCAGGAAUGUCAUAUCUCUCCAUCUCCGGGUUCGAUCUUCUGCCUUGGGUUUGUUUUCAGGCAGAAUCCACUAUCUGGUGGCAAAGAUGAACAUCACAGCUGAUGUGGAGAACAAAGGCAAAAGAAAAAGAAAUUAAGCUUCCUUACAACUUACAGACAGGCAGAGUGACCUUCCUCAAGGAGCGCAGCUGCCUCAAUGUCAAUACAUUGCUAGAGGCAAAAGGCAACCUUAGUUUGACAUUAGCCUGACUCCCAGGAUCUUGUAAAAACUCCCUUUGGAAACUUCCUUUAUCUCUCCCCCACAAAGAUAUAUGUUAACAAUCAUCCUGUAAACAUAGGGCCCUCUGAUAUACAUCUGAGGGGUCUCACGACUAAGAGUUUACUGGGCUGUAGUAAACGACCUGUUCCUAACAACAGCUAGCCCCUCAAGAUCCUGGAAACCUGGCUUCCAAAUUCCUUAGAGGUUUACACUAUCCCUACCCCCUCCCAACUUGAAAGUAUAUAAUCAGUCGCUGCUCACAAUCUGGGUGCAACCCUUUCUGCCCAUGGGUCCUGUCCCCGUGCUUUAAUAAAACCAUCCUUUUUGUACCAGAGACAUCUCAAGAAUUCUCUCUUGACUGUUCACUCCCGGACCCCAACAUUUCCCAUCAUUUCGGUGCCCGAUGUGCAGCCUGAGUCUUCUCAUCUGGACUCCGAGGCUUAAAACCCAACUGGGGACGAUUUCCUAGGGAAAUCGGCCGUGAAGACCACGUGUGUUAGUUAGAACGUUGCUUAGACCAUGAUUCAUUUCUAUCUUUACUGAUUUCUGUCAAUGUCCCCUACUAACUACUUAAAUUACAAGACAGUAAUUUUCCUUUGUAAAACUUUUCUAGUGUUCUCCAUGGGUUAAAAACAGCAGGUUCGUCAUGGCAUGGCACAACACAGUAUGUCGGUCCAUUCACCGGCACCCAUUUGCAGCCUAGGGUGCAACAGGGAAGCGGAGGGAUGUUGGCAAUCCCUCCUACUGGGCCUUUAUGGCAGGCAGGAUGGCGAUCAGUAGUGAUUUCGUUUGAGGGAUGCCUUGGGUCACUUUGACACCAGGAACCUCUGACAUAUCCUGCACGUGGGAUGCCACCCUGGAGUCAGGGGGCAUUUUUUGGGUAAUGGACCUUCUCUAGCCUUCUUCUUUGGUUCUCAAGGACUCUCCCUUGGGAUGCCUUUUAACCCACUGGAAAUAAUUCAUAUUGUAAAAGUUAAAAAGUCUGAUCUUCUGUAACACUGCAUGACCUUAGUAUGAUUUAUCAGUCAGAUCUCUUCUGCAGGAAAUGGGGCAAAUGGACUGAGAUACUCUAUGUCCAGGACUUCAUGGCCCUAAAUCAUGACCCCAAUCUAAGGUCCCCUUGCAAACUGUGGCCACAAACCUGGCUGAUAAACUCCCUUCUUACAUACUGGAUGAUAAUUAAAUAGGCCUCCUCCUGAUAGAAUCCAGGUUGCUGGAGGAAACACAGGUUCUCAUUUGGGGGCCAAAGGCAGGGGACGCUGACCUUCUUUCACUGUUCCUCCUCCUAAUAGAUGCAGGGGCUUCUUCCUCAUUCAUUUCCCCGGUUAAUGUCUAUGAUAAUUGGAGCCAACUGUGGUUAGUCUACCUCGGGCCAGGGACUUUAAGGAAUAUUCCCAAGCAGCUGCUAAAACUCCCUUUGUUUGAGGGAAGUUCCCUGUGUUCUCUGGCCCAACAUGGAUUGCCUAAUUCCAUUUGUUGAGGGAAAAACAAGCAAACAAAUAUGGCAUCUGCUCAUCUGUCCGAGCUGACAAACUUUAGAACAAGGAAUCCUCUUUCUCUGUCCUCUGGCACCACCUCGAAUCUUCUGCCUCCUCCUCCCCCUCCUCCGGUUGCUGCACCCCUUGGGUGAUACCUGCAUAACUGGCUUGGUGCCUCUGGCACUCUCGACUCCUGCUCCUCCUCCCCUCGCUGUCAAGGAGCAAAGACCCUUGGACUUUCACCACCCACUUCAGAUUUCCCCACUGGUGUCCCAGGUAAAAUCUGACAAUGGGGAA